UAUGAAUUUUCAUUCUGCAGUACUGACAAUAGCAUAUUUUAAGAAUCCGAGUGAUCGAUUGGACCUAAAAAAAUAAAUUAUAAAAUUCCUCUUAUUGAAUGUUAUAUUAGAGCCCAUACUAAGUGUACAGACAAAAUUCCACUACUACUACACCUAUAACAGGUGUGUUUAAAGUCCAGGAGUCUAUUCCUUAAAUCUUCAAUGAUAUGUGUGGUCACUUAAUUAAAAAUAAAUAUUUGUUUGGUAAGAAGCAACGCACAUCAUGUGAUUUAUGCACAAUGGUACUGUUGUAAAUGUGAAAAGAAUAAAUAUUAGAGAAACAUG